UACAGAGGGUGCAAGCGUUAAUCGGAAUUACUGGGCGUAAAGCGUGCGUAGACGGUAGCGUCAGUCGGGUGUGAAAGCCCCGGGCUCAACCUGGGAAUUGCAUUCGAGACUGCUCUGCUAGGGUGCGGAAGAGGGAAGCGGAAUUUCCGGUGUAGCGGUGAAAUGCGUAGAUAUCGGAAGGAACACCAGUGGCGAAAGCGGCUUCCUGGUCCAGCACCGACGUUCAGGCACGAAAGCGUGGGGAGCAAACAGG
rnacentral:rRNA from 1 species